ensembl:lincRNA
CUUCUACCCGAACCCCCCCUUCCCCCCAAGCAGAGAGACCCCAGCAGCAGCAGCAGCUGAUGAUGAAGAGAGAGGCAGUGGCAGAGGGGGGGCACCUUUUAUUUCUAUUUUUAAAGGGACAGGACACUAAUUCUACCCCACUUCAACCUUGAAUUGAGGGGGGUGGGGGGAAGGUGGCUGAGUUCCUUCCCCCACCCUCCAGCCCUGAGCCCUGAGAGGGGGAUUGAGCCUGAGAGAGAAGAAGGAGUUUCUUCUUCUUCGAAAAUCCCCAUCCACGACUCCUACCCCCUCACCCCUCCAACUCGCCUCCCUCCCGAGCCCCCUCCACCCUCCUCUUUGGCCGUGAGAGGAGGAGAGAAAGAAACCAAAAGCCUCUUAGCAACACAGACCCUUUGCUGCUGCUGCUGCUGCUGCUGUUGCUGCUGCUGCUGCUGCUACUGCUGCUGCUGCUACUGCUGCUGCUUGGCCCUGGCUGGAGACAUCUCACUACACCCAGGAGCAGCCACUUCCCCAGCUCUCCUCCUCCUCCUUCGCCUCCUCCUCCUCCACUCCCCCCCUUUAUUACCCUUUGUGUCAUCCUCCACAGCUCCAGGGAAGGCACUCAAAAGUGGGGGGCAGGAAAGAUGUACAUUGAAGAUGUCAGUUUCUACAUGGGGGAAGUAGACAUUGAAGGCUUUAUGGUUUACAGACAAGAUCUUUAGAAGUUAAGCACUAAAGGACCAAGGAGAUAAAUACCAGAAAUCAAGAGCACAGACUAUUUUUCUUCAUCAAUCCAUAGAGCCCUAAUACUUCUCUAGUUCCAUCAAACACAGAGGAAUGACCACCAUGACAGAUGGCAACAGAGGAUGUCAACAAUUUUUUGGAGGCAAGCAAUGAAAUAUUUCUACUAUGAGUUUUCUGUUAUU